UAAUACGGAGGGUGCAAGCGUUAAUCGGAAUUACUGGGCGUAAAGCGCGCGUAGGCGGUUUGUUAAGUCGGAUGUGAAAGCCCCGGGCUCAACCUGGGAACUGCAUACGAUACUGGCAAGCUAGAGUGCAAUAGAGGGGGGUAGAAUUCCAGGUGUAGCGGUGAAAUGCGUAGAUAUCUGGAGGAAUACCGGUGGCGAAGGCGGCCCCCUGGAUUGACACUGACGCUGAGGUGCGAAAGCGUGGGUAGCAAACAGGAUUAGAUACCCUGGUAGUCCACGCCGUAAACGAUGUCAACUAGCUGUUGGGACUCUUGUAGUUCUGGUAGCGCAGCUAACGCACUAAGUUGACCGCCUGGGGAGUACGGCCGCAAGGUUA
rnacentral:rRNA from 1 species